AAUAGAUUUUAGUACUUUUAAGAAUAUGGAAGUUUGGUGCAAAUCCAACGCGGUCCCGCCACUGUAAUUAGGUCUUACCUUUAAGUCAGGUCUUUAUUCUUGAAUUUUAGUAGAUUUCACGUCUCGAUGUAAGGCGAUGAUGUCAUAU
rnacentral:sRNA from 2 species